rnacentral:rRNA from 1 species
ACGAACGCUGGCGGCGUGCUUAACACAUGCAAGUCGAGCGGUAAGGCCCUUUCGGGGGUACACGAGCGGCGAACGGGUGAGUAACACGUGGGUGACCUGCCCUCAGCUCUGGGAUAAGCCUGGGAAACCGGGUCUAAUACUGGAUAUGACUCCAUGACGCAUGUUGUGGGGUGGAAAGCCUUGUGCGGCUGAGGAUGGGCCCGCGGCCUAUCAGCUUGUUGGUGGGGUGANGGCCUACCAAGGCGACGACGGGUAGCCGGCCUGAGAGGGCGACCGGCCACACUGGGACUGAGACACGGCCCAGACUCCUACGGGAGGCAGCAGUGGGGAAUCUUGCGCAAUGGGCGAAAGCCUGACGCAGCGACGCCGCGUGAGGGAUGACGGCCUGGUGU